AGUAUGCCUUAACACCCUUCUCCUCCCUUGCAGACCAUGUGUUCCAGAAAACAUAACUAGAAAGAUGUGAGAAGGCACUUCAUGUGGGAGAUAAGCCUUGUUUUACUUAAUCCACUGAGAUGUCAGAGUUCAUUGUUACAGCAGCAGCCUGUUGUACAGGCUGACUAACACAUGGUAACUAAGAGAACACUUUGGAUUCUUGACAAAAUAAGAGCAAGAAAGCAGCAGCAAAAGCAGAAUUCAGAGGGGUGAGAAACCAAAAGCAACAGAGCAAGAUGACUGAGAGAAUGUGACGAAGAAGAUAAUGAAACAGGAUGGAUAUCCAUGCACAUCCAUCUUGAAGCAACUUUUCAAAGACAAUGGAAGCCCUAACAUCCCUUUGAUGAAACGAAGCUACACAGAAACAUAGCAAGUAACAUAUGACUGGGUACAAAUGGUAAAAUUAAAGGCAAACAUUGUUGAUGAGCUCACUAGA